GUUCAGGAGCCAGACAUCAUACAUGUAGUCAUAAUAGUGAGUCAUUCAUGUCACUGAUGGUAAGUGCUCUGAAGAGAAAUGCUGUUGACAGAGAAUAACAGAGAUCUCAUCUCAAAGGGGGCCAGAGAUGGUGAAAGGAAGAAAGGGGAAAACCCAAGAGAAGGGAAUUGAGACCCACAAAGGUGAAGUAAUUGGCUCAGAGUUAAACAGCCUGACAACAGAAGAGACAAGCACCGCAUCUUCCGGUCUAAAAUCCCUCUCGAGGGUUCAGGAUACAGGAAAAGUAGUUAUGCCUGAAGAUAAGUUGCUGACUUCGCUUCUACUUCAGUCACCCCUUUCUGAUCUUCCCAAGAAGAAAUAAAGAAUGAACAUUAAGGACAAUUAUGAAGCAAUACCCACAAUAAAACAAGAAUGAGAUCAUUUUAUUAUUCAAGGUACUAUAUUUGGAAAUUGAAUAAUGCCUUUUUUUUUCCAGUCUAACCACUCUGGAUGUUAUUUCAAUCCAAUUAUUUUGUUGGAA
rnacentral:lncRNA from 10 species